AUUGUUCAGCCAGUCGCUCUGGUUUCGCUGCUUCGGGUUGGCCCUGCGUCCUCUUCAGGUCCCAGCCCCUCCCGAAAGCUGGGCGAGGGGACCGUCCCUGGCUGUGAGCUCUCUGCGGUCCUCGGGUGCAGGCCACCAUGAGCAAACGGAAGGCGCCGCAGGAGACGCUCAACGGGGGCAUCACCGACAUGCUCACAGAACUCGCAAACUUUGAGAAGAACGUGAACCAGGCUAUCCACAAGUACAAUGCCUACAGGCUUUGUGCCAUAGUGCCAAUUAUGUGGAACUGCUUGUCUUUGCUGAAACAGUUUCCUCCACAAAUUGCCCUCAACCUGCCUUUCCAGACUCAUCAUCAGUAACAUGCUAAUACAGAAGUCGAAAUCCAAAUCUGAAGGUUAUAUGUGCUAGAACAGAGUGAAAAACUAAGGCUUCAAAGACUAUCCAAAAACUACAUUUAGCAUUGAAAUUAUAGACAGGAUACCAUCAGUGAGCUCCCAGGGUGGACCCAAUCUGUAACCAGACUACUGAGCUAGAAAAGCAGCAUCUGUGAUAGCAAAGUACCCACACAAAAUAAAGAGUGGAGCAGAAGCUAAGAAACUGCCUGGAGUAGGAACAAAAAUUGCUGAAAAGAUUGAUGAGUUUUUAGCUACUGGAAAAUUGCGUAAACUGGAAAAGAUUCGGCAGGAUGAUACGAGUUCAUCCAUCAAUUUCCUGACUCGAGUUAGUGGCAUUGGUCCAUCUGCUGCAAGGAAGUUUGUAGAUGAAGGAAUUAAGACAUUAGAAGAUCUCAGAAAAAAUGAAGAUAAAUUGAACCAUCAUCAGCGAAUUGGGCUAAAAUAUUUUGAGGACUUUGAGAAAAGAAUUCCUCGUGAAGAGAUGUUACAAAUGCAAGAUAUUGUACUAAGUGAAGUUGAAAAAGUGGAUUCUGAAUACAUUGCUACAGUCUGUGGCAGUUUCAGAAGAGGUGCAGAGUCCAGCGGCGACAUGGAUGUCCUUCUGACCCAUCCAAGCUUUACCUCUGAGUCAACCAAACAGCCAAAGCUGUUACAUCGUGUUGUGGAGCAGUUACAAAAGGUCCAUUUUAUUACAGACACUCUGUCAAAAGGGGAAACAAAGUUCAUGGGUGUUUGCCAGCUUCCCAGUAAAAAUGAUGAAAAGGAAUAUCCACACAGGAGAAUUGAUAUCAGGUUGAUACCCAAGGAUCAGUAUUACUGUGGUGUCCUCUAUUUCACUGGGAGUGAUAUUUUCAAUAAGAAUAUGAGAGCUCAUGCUGUAGAAAAAGGCUUCACAAUCAAUGAAUACACAAUCCGUCCCUUGGGAGUCACUGGAGUUGCUGGAGAGCCGCUGCCCGUGGAUAGUGAGAAGGACAUCUUUGACUACAUCCAGUGGAAAUACCGAGAACCCAAGGAUCGAAGUGAAUGAGGCCCAUCCUCCCCGGCACAGCCCAAUAGGUCUUAAUUUAUUUCUUAACCUUUGCUACAUAAGGGUCUGUGGUGUUUUUAAAUAAUUGUUUCUUCAUGCUGUAGCUUGCAUUAGUCAAUAAAACCUCUUGUACUAUUA